UGACAAUAAAAUUACCGAUUA
ensembl:piRNA 21ur-13269 ncRNA